rnacentral:rRNA from 1 species
GGCUUAACACAUGCAAGUCGAGGGGCAGCAUAAAAGUAGCAAUACUUUGGUGGCGACCGGCGCACGGGUGAGUAACGCGUAUGCAACCUACCUAUCAGAGGGGAAUAACCCGGCGAAAGUCGGACUAAUACCGCAUAAAACAGGGGCACCGCAUGGUGAUAUUUGUUAAAGAGAUUCGCUGAUAGAUGGGCAUGCGUUCCAUUAGGUAGUUGGUGAGGUAACGGCUCACCAAGCCGACGAUGGAUAGGGGAACUGAGAGGUUGGUCCCCCACACUGGUACUGAGACACGGACCAGACUCCUACGGGAGGCAGCAGUGAGGAAUAUUGGUCAAUGGGUGGGAGCCUGAACCAGCCAAGUCCGCGUGAAGGAAGAAGGAUCUAUGGUUCGUAAACUUCUUUUGCAGGGGAAUAAAGUGCAGGACGUGUCCUGUUUCGUAUGUACCCUGAGAAUAAGGAUCGGCUAACUCCGUGCCAGCCGCCGC